rnacentral:lncRNA from 1 species
AAAAUAUAUUACUUACAUAUUCAGAAAAAAAACAGCAUAGGGAGCAUCGUGGAAGGAGAAUCAAGACAAAGAAUGAGAGAAUGAAUUAUGAAGAAACAAAAACAAGAGUUAAACCCUCUACAGUGAGCAUUCAGAGUUCUCCAGAGAAACAGACCCAAUAGGGCGUGUGUACGUGUAUGUGUGCCUGUGCGUGUGAACAGGGAGGAAUAGGGCUUCCCUUGCCCUGGUGGUGCAGCCUUCACUACAGUGCAGCCUUCAUUGGUUUUCUCUCCUUCCGUAUCUCACUUCCCCAUCCCUGCCGUUGCUUCCCGAGAUCACAUCCCAAAUAAACCACUUCAAC